AACCUUGGGCCUGGCUGGCCGGUCCGCCUCACCGCGUGUACUGGUCCGGCCGGGCCUUUCCUUCUGGGGAGCCGCAUGCCCUUCACUGGGCGUGUCGGGGAACCAGGACUUUUACUUUGAAAAAAUUAGAGUGUUCAAAGCAGGCCUUUGCUCGAAUACAUUAGCAUGGAAUAAUAGAAUAGGACGUGUGGUUCUAUUUUGUUGGUUUCUAGGACCGCCGUAAUGAUUAAUAGGGAUAGUCGGGGGCAUCUGUAUUCAAUUGUCAGAGGUGAAAUUCUUGGAUUUAUUGAAGACAAACUACUGCGAAAGCAUUUGCCAAGGAUGUUUUCAUUAAUCAGUGAACGAAAGUUAGGGGAUCGAAGACGAUCAGAUACCGUCGUAGUCUUAACCAUAAACUAUGCCGACUAGGGAUCGGGCGAUGUUAUCUUUUUGACUCGCUCGGCACCUUACGAGAAAUCAAAGUCUUUGGGUUCCGGGGGGAGUAUGGUCGCAAGGCUGAAACUUAAAGG
rnacentral:rRNA from 1 species